AUGUCCCACCUCUUGUUUGCCUCAAGAACUUUACCGACCAUAACAAGAGGGAAUAGAUCUUUUCCGUCUGCAAAAUUAGAAGUGGCCUAUAUGUUUGUGGCAAGGCCUGUUAUGCAUGUCAUUCAGAAGGAAGUCCCUAUUUCACCUUCCCCACUCAGCGCAAGUCUCUGCACUACAGUCUUGACACUGGAAGCUAGUUCACCAACUGAAUUGUGCAAGAUCUUGUUUGCUACUUCAUCGCCGGCUUCGGCAGAUUGUACCACAACAGGGAGAAUGUCAGCGAUGCGUGCCCAAGAUUGGUCUUCAUAUGUCCAACUGCCAUGA
rnacentral:rRNA from 1 species